GGACCUGGGGCAUGGGGCCUGCAAAUCAAGGUUGCUCGAAGAAAAUUUAUUUAAAAAAAAAAAAAGCGGAAACCUAAAACCCAUUUGUUUUUAUCCCUCUCAUUCGACGCUUCCUCUCUCCCAUUUCUCUCAUUUCCCUUGUCCGCUUCAACUCCACUUCCCCACCACCACUAGAUCUGUUGAUUGCGGGGAUAUAGUUCAUCAUGACGAUUUGACUCCCAAAAAGCCUGGCUGUGAGAACAACUUCAUUAUGGUUAAAGUUCAAACUUGGUUUGUAUCUUUUGAGAUGUUUAGAAUCUCACCAUGGGAAAACUAAGGUUUAGAAUUUCAGUUUCUGUUGAGAAUCUCUUGCACUCUUCUUUCGAUGGAGAUGUUGAGAUGAUCGGGUCGUCUAGAGUUUCAGUUUCUGGAUGGGAACUAACUCACAGUAAAUGGUGUGGACGCGAAUCGUAUCCAAAAUGUGUGAGGAAAAGCAUAACAAACAUAAUGUGGCAGAUAUCAUUUUGCAUAGGCACUUUGGUUCCAAAAUAGAUUCUGAAAUGAUUAGCGCCAUAGCAGAACUUUAGAGUGAUAGACAGCCUCUGGCAACAAGCUAUGGCAAAAAAAACCAAGGAAAAUUAAUUGAAGGAAAGGUGCCAGUUCUCUGAUUUUUAAGAGGGGGCAAGUUUCUUGGUUUGGUUCAUUCCCAAACUUUAGUUAAGUUCCUCUGUAGAGGUCGGAGGUUUGAUCCCCCAUCCCUCAUUGUACUAAAAGAUAAAUUACUUCUUUGGUUAAGUAUAUUGUAAAGAAUGACUCCAAAAUAACAUCUUUGCUCUAGUAAACCAAGUAAAUGAUUUCUCAUA